UACAGAGGUCCCGAGCGUUGUUCGGAUUCACUGGGCGUAAAGGGUGCGUAGGUGGUUGUGCAAGUCAGUUGUGAAAUCUCCGAGCUUAACUCGGAAAGGUCAACUGAUACUGCGGGGCUAGAGUGCGGGAAGGGGCAACUGGAAUUCUUGGUGUAGCGGUGAAAUGCGUAGAUAUCAAGAGGAACACCUGCGGCGAAGGCGGGUUGCUGGGCCGACACUGACGCUGAGGCGCGAAAGCUAGGGGAGCGAACGGG
rnacentral:rRNA from 1 species